AAACCUCGGGGGCAUUUCAUGAAAAAACCGUAAUUGUUAUUGUCCGUUGUCCAAUCCCGGUCUGCAUUUGUGGUGAACCGCUGCCCUAGAUUCCCUUAAUAUUGUUAUAUUCCAGUUUGAUUAUUUGCCUUAGCUUAAUAUACAAACCAAUCCAAUUCUUUGUUACCAGUAGUCUAGAUUAGUUAAUUAAUAGUAGAAAGAACAUUGUUUCCCUGUGGAUACGAUCCCUGCUUCCCUUGCUAUAUUUUUAGUUGGUGAACGUUAGGUUUAUCUUUGAUAGGAGUGCGAUUUAGCUUGUCAGCUACAUUGAGGUAGUGUUUUUUUUUUUAAAGAGUUUGGGAUAAUGACAAGGUUUCGGUAUGUCAUUGUUUUCCUUUUAUUUGGUAAGUGUCUUACUGUUUUCAUUGAUUUUUUAAAAACAAUUUUAUGUAGAAAUUUGAUAUAGAAAUGUUAGGUAUUGCUUUGAAUUUUGUGUUUAUAAAUCCCUACAGGUUCCGUGAUGUGAAUACUUAGAAACACUUAACCUUUGAUACUUACAAAUUACUUAUUCUAAAGUUGUCAUUAGAAAGACUUAAACUGUGAUAUUAUAAGUUUUGAGAACUUGACUCCCUUGCUUUUUAAUAGAUUAAAAGUAUUAACAUGACAAGAACUAAUCAUCUGCUUCCUGGAUCUUCUAUUCAUACACUAAUCAACUCAUGUCCCUAUAAACAAUAUAAUAGGCUACCACUAAUGUAGUGUCUGAAUGCCCGUCAAUUUUAUUUUGCAACGAAAAAACUAAACACUACCAUAAGUAGAAACUGUGCUUCCCUGCUCAUUUGCAUCUCAAGAUGUCAAUGUGUACUCACCUAUAUCCCUGACUUAGGCUGCUGUGCCUUUCUUCUGUGAUCUUUAUGAUUAUGGUGGUACUCAAUUGGGUUUUGUUGUUCUUGAGUAAUCGUCAAAUGCGUGUGUUCUGGGAAUUCGAUAUAGCUUGCAAUUGAUCUGGGUUGCAGCAUUUUCAGAUUAAAAGGAAAAGAAUAAGGCUCGUGGGUGUGGAAUGCAGGACAUCAACAACACAAGGAUAAAAUGCUUUUGUUUCUUAUAUUAAGUGUUGUAAACACAUUGGACAUAUUACUUUAUAGAUUGUAACUAAUCUGUUUAGUUUUAUCUAUAGGUUUGGUAUAAUUUCAAAAAAAAGUAAUUCAAAAACUUAUUUAUGUAUGAUACAAAGGAUUUGGUUUCCAUGUAACUAUUAGACAUAAUAAAAACUCCUGUAAAUUAUACAAAUUAUUAUUCAAUAAAAUGAAUUUUUUUUA